rnacentral:rRNA from 1 species
AGCGGUGGAGCAUGUGGUUUAAUUCGAUGCAACGCGAAGAACCUUUACCUGGUCUUGACAUCCACGGAAGUUUUCAGAGAUGAGAAUGUGCUUUCGGGAACCGUGAGACAGGUGCUGCAUGGCUGUCGUCAGCUCGUGUUGUGAAAUGUUGGGUUAAGUCCCGCAACGAGCGCAACCCUUAUCCUUUGUUGCCAGCGGUCCGGCCGGGAACUCAAAGGAGACUGCCAGUGAUAAACUGGAGGAAGGUGGGGAUGACGUCAAGUCAUCAUGGCCCUUACGACCAGGGCUACACACGUGCUACAAUGGCGCAUACAAAGAGAAGCGACCUCGCGAGAGCAAGCGGACCUCAUAAAGUGCGUCGUAGUCCGGAUUGGAGUCUGCAACUCGACUCCAUGAAGUCGGAAUCGCUAGUAAUCGUGGAUCAGAAUGCCACGGUGAAUACGUUCCCGGGCCUUGUACACACCGCCCGUCACACCAUGGGAGUGGGUUGCAAAAGAAGUAGGUAGCUUAACCUUCGGGAGGGCGCUUACCACUUUGUGAUUCAUGACUGGGGUGAAGUCGUAACAAGGUAACCGUA